AUGCACCCAGCUCGGAAUCAAGCUACUCUUCUCCACGGCGUACCAUCCACAAACCGACGGCCAAACGGAGGUGAACAACCGCACACUCUCCGCUCUACUUCGCAUGCUAAUCAAGAAGAACAUCAAGGAGUGGGAGGAGUGUCUACUAUCGCCGAGUACGCCUACAACCACACAAGACACUCAACUACCGGCGAGUCCCCCUUUGAGGUCGUUUACGGUUUCAACCCAUUGUCACCAUUGGACAUUCUCCCUCUACCACUACAAGAGCGCACGAAUAUGGACGCGAGUGCCCGAGUCAACUAUCUUAAGAAGAUGCAUGAAGGUACAAGGCACACCAUUGAGCGCCAAGUACAACGACUUGCGACCAAGCUCAACAUCAACAAGCACCCCAUGGUGUUCAACAUUGGAGAUCUUGUGUGGCUACACCUCUGCAAGGACUGCUUCCCCCACGAACACAAGUCCAAACUUCGACCACGAGCGGAUAGACCCUUCAAGGUGCUUGAACGCUACAACAACAACGCCUACAAGAUCGACAUUCCACGCAACAAGUACUCCGUGAGCGACAUCUUCAACGUCAAAGAUCUCUCUCCCUACCAUGAUGAUGAAGAUUUCGAUCCGAGGUCGGAUCUUUCCCAAGGGAGGGGAGAUGAUGCGGAGCAUCCUAUGGUCAUCCCCAUGGACCUACCAUCGUCUCACGAAGUGCCAAGAGGACCUAUGACUCGAGCUAGAGCUAGAGCUCUCGAGACCGAGAUGACUUCUCUCCUUAGUAAUAUUACAUAUGAUCCUCUCGAGACAUGGCUAGUACCUAAGUCCGAGAUGUUGUGCAUGAUUAGGUACCAAGAGGACCCUCCUGAAGAUGCACGUGAAGACAGACAAGCCGCCAAGUCCACGGAUGAAGAGAACCAACGAAAGGAGAAGGCAGCUCCAGGGCCCGGACAUCCGGCCCCAGCCCCGGACAUCCAACCACUGGAGAACUACAACAACGGUCCAGCGGCCGAAGCUACAAGACCCGGACAUCCGGCCCCGGCCACGGACAUCCGGCCACUGCCCGGAAAUCCGACGCCCGUCAUAGAACAUAACCGAAGCUGA
rnacentral:rRNA from 1 species